GGACUACCGGGGUUUCUAAUCCUGUUUGAUCCCCACGCUUUCGCACCUCAGCGUCAAUGUUUCGCCAGAUAGCCGCCUUCGCCUCCGGUGUUCCUCCUGAUAUCUACGAAUUUCACUUCUACACCAGGAAUUCCGCCAUCCUCUCGAGCAUUCAAGAUUUGCAGUUUCGACUGCAGUUCCCAGGUUAAGCCCGGGGAUUUCACAAUCGACUUACAAACCCGCCUACGUGCGCUUUACGCCCAAUAAUUCCGAACAACGCUUGCACCCUCCGUAUUACCGCGGCUGCUGGCAC
rnacentral:rRNA from 1 species